AAGGAGUCUGACGUAUAUGCGAGUAUUUGGGUGUCAAACCCUCAUGCGCAAUGAAAGUGACAGAUGGGACCCUCACGGCGCACCAUCGGCCGACCCUGAUCCGCUGGAGAAUGGUUUGAGUGUGAGCAUCGACGUCGGGACCCGAAAGAUGGUGAACUAUGCAUGACCAGAACGAAGCCAGGGGAAACUCUGGUGGAGGUUCGAAGCGGCUUUAACGUGCAAAUUAAUCGUCAGAGUUGUGUAUAGGGGCGAAAGACUAAUCGAACCAUCUAGUAGCUGGUUCCCUC
rnacentral:misc_RNA from 1 species